AUUGAACGCUGGCGGAAUGCUUUACACAUGCAAGUCGGGCGGCAGCGCGGGGGCAACCCUGGCGGCGAGCGGCGAACGGGUGAGUAACACAUCGGAACGUACCCUGUCGUGGGGGAUAACGAAUCGAAAGAUUCGCUAAUACCGCAUACGACCUGAGGGUGAAAGCGGGGGAUCGCAAGACCUCGCGCGAGAGGAGCGGCCGAUGGCGGAUUAGCUAGUUGGUGAGGUAAAGGCUCACCAAGGCGACGAUGGGUAGCUGGU
rnacentral:rRNA from 1 species